UCACUCUCUUUUUGCGGUUGCAAAAUGGGUUUUUGGCCUGAGGCCUUCCAGCUCUGAACAGCUGAAGUCGCCUUAGACUGGCUGGCAUUUCUAGGCCAGUCGCAAACUUCGGCGGGUCUCGCAAAAUGAAGAUGGUGGAGGAUCGCGCUUUGGGGAAGGUGCCAGGCACGAAUGCGAUGUGGCAUUUGAUGGCCUCUGAUGGACAGUUAAGUGCCAAUGGGAUGAAAAGAGCUGCCGGGUCCUAAAGGACAGGCUCCACAUUCUGGCCAUGGGUAAACAGGCACUAAACAGAAUUAGCUGGAAGUUGAAGGGUUACUGGGUGCAUGUCUUAAAUCUGUGGAUGGCUUGCUUGGGGUAUAGACUUGGAAGUCAUAUAUAAAGUUUCAGGAGUUGCAUUGGCUACAAGGCAUGGAAUGAGGAGCUUUAAGCAAAGGCAGUCCUGUUACCCUGAAGAAUUCAAGGCUAUUUAUGGUGGCAAUAAUCUCCAGCUUACCAACUGAAAGGCAGUUGGUCAGAAGAUAGAUGAAACUUUCAGUUUUAAUAAAUUUCUAUAAACUA